GCGGGUAUAGUUUAGUGGCAAAACGACUGCUUCCCAAGCAGUAAUUACGGGUUCGAUUCCCGUUACCCGCU
rfam:Corallococcus sp. CAG:1435 genomic scaffold, scf132